GGCCUGGUGGUCUAGUAGUAUGAUUCCUUCUUAGGGUUUAGAACCAUGUGGAGGAGGUCCCGGGUUCAAUUCCCGGCCAGGCCC
rnacentral:tRNA from 1 species